rnacentral:rRNA from 1 species
GGAGUUAGCCGGUGCUUCUUCUGUGAGUGAUGUCCUUCCUGCCGGCUAUUAACCCGCAGGCCUUCUUCCUCACUGAAAGUGCUUUACAACCCGAAGGCCUUCUUCACACACGCGGCAUGGCUGGAUCAGGGUUGCCCCCAUUGUCCAAUAUUCCCCACUGCUGCCUACCGUAGGAGUCUGGGCCGUGUCUCAGUCCCAGUGUGGCUGAUCAUCCUCUCAGACCAGCUACGGAUCGUCGCCUUGGUGAGCCGUUACCUCACCAACCAGCUAAUCCGACAUAGGCUCAUCCGAUAGCGCGAGGCCCGAAGGUCCCCCGCUUUCCCCCGUAGGGCGUAUGCGGUAUUAGCCUGGGUUUCCCCAGGUUAUCCCCCACUACCGGGCAGAUUCCUAUGCAUUACUCACCCGUCCGCCGCUCGCCACCAGGGAGCAAGCUCCCCGUGCUGCCGCUCGACUUGCAUGUGUUAGGCCUGCCGCCAGCGUUCAAUCUGAGCCAGAAUCGAACCCUGA